UGGGGAAUAUUGCACAAUGGGCGCAAGCUGAUGCAGGACGCCGCGUGGGGGAUGACGGCUUCGGGCUGUAAACUCCUUUCGCCAGGGACGAAGCGUUUUGUGACGGUACCUGGAGAAGAAGCACCGGCUAACUACGUGCCAGCAGCCGCGGUAAUACGUAGGGUGCAAGCGUUGUCCGGAAUUACUGGGCGUAAAGAGCUCGUAGGUGGUUUGUCACGUCGUCUGUGAAAUUCCACAGCUUAACUGUGGGCGUGCAGGCGAUACGGGCUGACUUGAGUACUGUAGGGGUAACUGGAAUUCCUGGUGUAGCGGUGAAAUGCGCAGAUAUCAGGAGGAACACCGAUGGCGAAGGCCGGUUACUGGGCCGUUAAUGACGGUGAGGAGGGAAAGCAUGGGUAGCAAACAGGAUUAGAUCGGUAGUCCAUGCCGUAAACGGUGGGCGCUAGGUGUAGGGGCCUUUUGGGGUUUCUGUGCCGUAGCUAACGCAUUAAGCGCCCCGCCUGGGGAGUACGGCCGCAAGGCUA
rnacentral:rRNA from 1 species